AGUGAACGCUGGCGGUAGGCCUAACACAUGCAAGUCGAACGGCAGCACAGUAAGAGCUUGCUCUUACGGGUGGCGAGUGGCGGACGGGUGAGGAAUACAUCGGAAUCUACUUUUUCGUGGGGGAUAACGUAGGGAAACUUACGCUAAUACCGCAUACGACCUACGGGUGAAAGCAGGGGAUCAUCGGACCUUGCGCGAUUGAAUGAGCCGAUGUCGGAUUAGCUAGUUGGCGGGGUAAAGGCCCACCAAGGCGACGAUCCGUAGCUGGUCUGAGAGGAUGAUCAGCCACACUGGAACUGAGACAUGGUCCAGACUCCUACGGGAGGAAGCAGUGGGGAAUAUUGGACAAUGGGCGCAAGCCUGAUCCAGCCAUACCGCGUGGGUGAAGAAGGCCUUGGGGUUGUAAAGCCCUUUUGUUGGGAAAGAAAAGCAGCAGGUUAAUACCCCGCUGUUCUGACGGUACCCAAAGAAUAAGCACCGGCUAACUUCGUG
rnacentral:rRNA from 1 species